AGAGGCGUGACUACUUCUGUUCCCUGUCAAGUAAUGUAAAAACAUUUUUGACUAGGCUGGGGUUCCAGUUAUUUUUGUUUGCACGUCCAUAUAAUCCAUACUUUAUUUGACUAUUUAUUGUCAGUCUAUUUGAAGUAGGCACAAGUAUAUUGGUACUUUAACCACCCAUGGCUCAAUCUGACCUAAACGAUAUGCUUGUGAAAUAUGGCAGGUGUUGAUGGAAGGAAAAGGAGAUCCCAAUAAUCCCCUGGCAAGACUACAACAGAACCAAGACAGACAAAAACAGAAAGAGAUGGAUGUUUAUAUGUAACAAAAAAGCUGUCAAAACAAAAACAGCUAUUUUUAUACCCUGCAGAGGGUGGAUGGGUUAACAAAAAAAGGGGGGGAAAGAGAUGGACAUUUUGUGAGAGGGAGACGCAACUUUCCCGAUCCCUGUGGACCAAUACAUCAGUAUUGUGUAUUCACAAUACAUUGGUUUUGAGUCAUGUAAUAUAAGAAGGUAAAUGUAUUUAAUCACAUUUGAUUUGAUGAUAACUUCAAUCAACAGGAUCAAUAUGUGAGUUUGUGAAGAUGACUGAAGGGGGUGGAUUUUGGACAGGGGGGAGAUUUUCCCCCAGAUCACAAGAUAGCUUGCAUCUCUUUUCCUUUCAGUGAAAAACAUACACAUCACAAAUCUACUCUAACCCACCAUGGCAUGAGAAUGAAUAGUUCAACUGAAAACAAUGAAUUGGUCCUAUAACAAUAUCCAUUAGUCACCACCACAGGGACAAAUAAUCAUUAUAAACACUGGCUAAAGCCCCAACCCCAACCACAACAAAAGCCAGCCAGGCUAGAUCUGACUCAUUCAUUCUGAAUGAGGGGCCAACCCAACAUCCAAGGACAACGUACCUCAGAGAUCCUAGGUCCUCAUUCCUGACGGGGACACCAGCGGCGGAGGCAGAGGGGGGACAGCGCAUGCCGUUGGCAUAUAUGCUCUGCACCAGGGCUAGCUCCGACGAGUGUUCCAACAUCGCACGGUACUCUUCCAGAAAAAUCCACCUUAUGUGUGUUAAAUGGACACUUCUCUUCUUCUCACUAUUUCUCCCUCUCGCCUCUCUAUCUGGGUAGCUUUUUUUCUCUCUCUAUUUCUCUCUCGCUCUCUCUGUUUUUCACUCCCGCCCCUCUCUUUCUCUCCUCAGAUUUAGUGCAGUCGAGCGGCACACACCCCUUUUGCUGACUGGCGUAGCUGAAAUAAUCCUUUUUGACAGCUCAUCGUGGGCUAAUGCAUUCUAGUGCAGCCCGCGGCAGACCGGUUCGCAGGCUGCAAAGCUGCGGCCACAGUAGUACUCUUCCUCUAAUUGACACCCAUAUUAGGAAGAGUCCAGGAAAUUGGACACGGGUGAUUUAUUCCUACUGUCAAACUGGGAUGCAUGGGGAAAAUAAGGGGAAACGUCUGCAAAGUUUGCCAAUGGAUCUCUGGAUCUGUUUCUUUCUCAGGUCCUGGGAUUGAGUGGGUUGUGGUAUGAUCCAUGUUUCAAUGUUUUGCAUGUAUUUGAAUGCUUGGAUACAGGAGAAAUACAGGCGAAAUGUAGGUCGAUACCAGGUGUUGUUGUUACAAAGGAAAUAUUGUACAUACAGACUAAACCUCAGGUACUGCACUUGUGGCAGGAAUCAUAGUGUGGUCCAACCAAAGUCUGUGUCAAGCAGGGAAAUCAAUCCUACAAGCAAAGCACCACACCCUUUUUAGAACAGAUGCAUGAAUUUGUAUGUAAAAAACUGGAUUCUGAAGUGUCAAACUUCAAAUGUUGAAAUUAUUUAAAUGUUCUAACAACUCCAUCUACUAACUCUGCAGUUACAUGCAGAUCUUUUGGUCGAGGUUUAAUCUGUGAAAACGCCAAAUAUUUAACACCAGGAAACAUUUAUUGGGGCACGGCUUUUAUCCAAAACCCUUAUCCAGUCCAGUCAUACCAUCACUUUCUGAAUAAUCUUCUUUUAGACAGGAGGAUGCGCAUAUGUCACAUUCUUCACAUUCCCUGGACUGACUGAUGAUAAACCAGUGGAUGAGAAGAGGGAGGGGAGAGAGGUACAGGGAGCGACAGAAGAGAGACACAGAGAGGGGGUGGACCUUUGUGAGAGGGGGAGACAGAGCCAACCCUGUCUACCUCUGUACCCUCUCUACAGUAUGUUGUCAUUAUUACACUGGUGCAGAGAUGGAUAGCAUAGCUUGUUGUAUGUUUAGUCAGUAUGAAAAAAAUCUGGUAAGCAUGGCUAUCUUUUAAUAAAGGAAGGAUUACGCUA